rnacentral:tRNA from 1 species
GACCUCGUAGCUCAGCUGGAUAGAGCACCGCUCUCCUAAAGCGGGUGUCGUUGGUUCGAAUCCAAUCGGGGUCGCCA